GUCGCAAGGCUGAAACUUAAAGGAAUUGACGGAAGGGCACCACCAGGAGUGGAGCCUGCGGCUUAAUUUGACUCAACACGGGAAAACUUACCAGGUCCGGACAUAAGAAGGAUUGACAGAUUGAGAGCUCUUUCAUGAUUUUAUGGGUGGUGGUGCAUGGCCGUUCUUAGUUGGUGGAGUGAUUUGUCUGGUUGAUUCCGUUAACGAACGAGACCUCAGCCUGCUAAAUAGUUAUGCUAUUCUUGAAUAGCUUAGCUUCUUAGAGGGACUUUCCGGGUCU
rnacentral:rRNA from 1 species